GGAGGGUAAGGACAAGGAGGACUUUUUGGUUCUUUUCAUGCAAAGCAAAACAGACUCUUUCUCUUCUUGACUGCAACUGACCUGAUGCUUGAGCUUGGAGCGAGAGGCAGGAUCCAUCCUCCAGCUUCCUCAGGAGGAGAAAGAUCAAAGAAACUCCACUCACCGUUCAAGGCCUUGCUAAAGCAUCACUUCCUCCAGGAAGCCCUCCCUGCUCUCCCAGCCGAGUCAGCAGAAUCCACAGAAUGUGCAGCUUCCAGGAUCCUUCAACAUCUGGUGUCCCCCUCGCUCCCUGGCAGCACCUCCUCGGCCUUCUCUGCCUGCACGCGAGUCACUCAGGCUCUGUCAGAGGCUCUUCUCCCUCAUCUCGUUCCCCGGAGCUCCUCUCCGGCUGCACCCACCGCCUGGGCUGAGGACCUGGGUAUCUGGAAUUAUAACCAAUCAAUAGACAGAGGGUAAGAGAGAAGACACUCUUGAGUACACGUGGAGCCAGCAGGGCUUGGAAGAGAGAGAUUCCCAGGCCUCCCGUUCAUCCUAACCAUCGGUGUCCCCAGCACUACUCUGUGACAAAGGCUGCCACUCAACUUCUAUGGAUGUCAGUUUCCUCAUCUGAGAAAUGGGUUUGGCCAGACUCAACCCACAGAGUUGCCCAAGGAGCACAGAGGAGUAUGACCUCGUGGGCACAGCACCCCCUGUGCUUCACACAACUACUUGCCACAUGGACUACUGAUCUCGACGCAUGGACCUCCCAGUCGCUGGAGGGCCCUUAAAAGUAGAAGAGGGAGGCGAGAGAAGAGUCUGAAGGAGCGUGACAAGGGGAGAAAGUCAGAGAGGCGACACUGGCUUUGAAGAUGGAGGAAGGGGCCACGAGCCAAACAAAGGGGGUGCCUCUAGAAGCUGGAAAGGAAUGGGAAAUAGCUUCUCCCCUCGAGCCUCCAGAAUGGAACGCAGCCCUGCUGACACGUGAUUGUAGCGCAGUGGGACCUAUGUCAGACUCGCACCCUGCAGAACUGGAAGGUAUGAGAUUUGUGGUGUCGUAACCCACCCAGUUGGUGGUCAUUUGUUAGCGCAGCCCUAGGAAACUACAACAGGAGGAUCCUGCCUCCCAGGUGCGUGCCCAGGUGUGUGGCGGGGGGAGGGUGUCUGCAGGAGGCGUGGUCUGGGCGGCUGGGAAGCCUGGCUUGGACCUAGAUUCUCUCCCUCAGCCUCCUCGCCUUCGCUCAGGCUGGCCCCUGCCGGGAAGGCACCUCUCCUGGAGGAUGCCUGGGGGCUGCCUCCCCUCCUUCCUCAGUGCUUCCAGAGAUCUUGGUUCUUAGACUACUUACCUGCCUUGCCCCCUUCAGACCCUGACUUCCAUAGCCGAUUCCCUUUGAUGUCCGCCACAAACCGGCCCAGGCUUUGAGGUCAGACAGCCCUGGGUUCAAAUCCCAGCUCCACCACUUACAUAAGCUCUGUGGAGCCCAGUGGGUUACUGACCCUUUCUGAGGGUCAGGCUCCAGGGCGUAACACCACAUCUCUCUCAGCCUGGUUUUUAGGACCUUCUCUAUAAGGUGCUCUAUGAAACUCUGCCCUACGAGGGAAUCUAUCCUAUGGGGGGGUCCCUAGGAUUCAGCAGCCAGGUACUGCCGACUCGAGGUCCCAGGCGUCUAGAGACGCACGGUCACUGAGCCCCCGAGUUGGGCCCCUUCCCCUGGUCGCGUGGCCUUCACAGCCCUGGGGGGCCCCCCUGCAGCAUGAGGACAGAGAGGCCUGGAGUGGGGAGCUUGCUCCUCCAGUUGUAGUGGGAGGGCCACUGCCCUUUCUCCCGCAGCCCUGCCUUCCCUUCUGGGGUGGUGCCCCCGGACCAGGGGGAGCCCGGGCCCCAGAGUUAACUCAGGCCCCAGCAGCCUGUGGCUCCUCAGCCCGGGGUGGCCACCUGGGGGUGGGACCCCCCAGUUGGUCUGCAAUUGUCCUGAGCAGUGUUGGGGGAGGCCCUCUGCCCAGGGGGGUGCCCCCACUGCUGAUUCUUCCUCUCUAUCAGGUCACUCGAGGGCCAGGAAGGAACUCCCCAACUUUGGCUUCUCAGAAGGCGGCCAGGACAAGACCACCAGCCCCUGGGCUCUGCUGCUCACCCUCCUGUGUCCUGUGUCCCCUGUCCCUCUGCCUCCGCCCUGGUCUCUACUUGGAAACAAAGCUGCUGGGCUCCAGUUGAGUCCCCCCCUGGCAUGGGGUCUGCCCUACUCACCCCUUGAGAUAUCUGUGGGCUAGGGAAGGACCCAAUUCUGAAAAGAUGUGACCUUCCCUUCCAUGAGAUUACAAAUAAAACUACA